rnacentral:rRNA from 1 species
UACAGAGGGUGCAAGCGUUAAUCGGAAUUACUGGGCGUAAAGCGCGCGUAGGUGGUUUGUUAAGUUGGAUGUGAAAUCCGCGGGCUCAACCUGGGAACUGCAUUCAAAACUGACAAGCUAGAGUAUGGUAGAGGGUGGUGGAAUUUCCUGUGUAGCGGUGAAAUGCGUAGAUAUAGGAAGGAACACCAGUGGCGAAGGCGACCACCUGGACUGAUACUGACACUGAGGUGCGAAAGCGUGGGGAGCAAACAGG